CUUUUUCUUCCUUUUUUUUCCUGUCAGGAUAAUGUGUCUAGUUAUUACCAAAUCUGAUCAGAGCUUAAAUCUACUUUAUGUAUGCUUCCCAUCCCCACUAUAGUGGAAGGAUAGGAAUACAGGAGGGGAUUCUUCAGAGGAUGCAGAAGUUGCCACAAAUAGCAAGCCUGAACAGUAUUGAUUUCUUUGAAGUGUCCCUCCUGAUGUCUCUUAAUAAUCAAGCACUGUCAAUUGACUACUGCAAAUUGACUUUUCCUUGUUGACACUUCAGGUUUUUAAUUUUGUAAAUGCAGAAACCAGAACAAAAUAAAUGAGAUUUUGCUGCAUUUAAAAUCAAUACCAGUUAUAUCAGUCAUCAAAAGAACACAACACACACACACACACACACACACACACACAGUGUGUCUUAUCUCUGUAGUUAGAAUUUCUGGUCCCCUGUCUCUACAUCUACAUGUACUGCAUCAUCCCCUCUCUCUCUCUCUGAGGUAUGGCCCUACUCUUCCCUACUUCUAGAAACCCUCAUUUUUCCUUCCAUAGCAGACAGUUAAUGAAUGUUCACCACCUAGUGCCCUGAUUUUAGCUCUCCAGCAUUCACAAGCAGACAUGAGUAUCCAAAAACGAAAAAUUAUAAAACAAUUGUAUAUUUAACAUAAUUAUAUGAAAAAUAUAAACACCUAAUUAAUGUGUUAGUCACUGUUAUUAGUUUAAUAAUGUUCACAAGAUAGCUGACAGUGACAAUGUGGGCUACAGAAUUUAUAGUUCAAAUUUAGAAGGAGAGUGGAAAUCCUUUCCUUUACUGAUAUGUAUUAUAAGUCCUUCCUUCCCUUCUGUCUGAUGGGUUAAUUAAUGUUACAUGCCUGUUUCUGGGCAAUUAUUGGCAGGCAGAAUACCAUCUGCUACUUAGUUUACACUAAUUAGGAUAUUCUUAUGAAACUGGGCAUGGAGUAAAUACCUGAACAAAUUUGCAGUGAACAAAAAACAGGUUAAACCAAAAGAAUUAGGAAUCCGAAUGAUAUUAUAUUUCUCAGCAGCAAAAUUGGAAGAUAAAACAGGCAGGAAUAAUAGUUUCAAAGCAGUUAAGGUAAACAAUUUCUCACAUAAAAUUCUAUCUUCAUUCUAUGCUGAUUGAUAAAAUAUGACAUAACAAUAAAUAAAAUUUCAACAUUUGAAAUUUCAAAAAUUUACUUCCUAGGUAAAAUUAUCAUGGAUUCAUUUGAAAAUGUGUUCCACCAAAAUAAAUAUUAUACCAUGAACAAAAGAGAAACAGAAUUUAAGAAAUAGGGAAUCAACAUUAGACAGGCACCAAAGAAAGUUCUGGGAUAACAACAGUGCAAUAGGCCUACAGAAUAAGUAGUUCAAAUUGGAACAAAAUGCUCUAGGGCUUCAGCAAAGAGGACUCUAGGAAAAUAAAAAGGAUACAACUUUUGUAGAUUAAAUUUAUCUUGUGAAAGAGAAAUCUAGAGAUUUUUAAAUUUCAUGAAGGACUAAUAAAAAGCAAACAGAUGACUAAGAAAUAAAUGAAGACAGGAAUUAUUGCCUUUAGGAAAAAUAGAAUGUUGUAUAAGAGGAAAUAUGGUUGUAUUGUAAUACCUGAUCUUUCAGUGAAUAAAUUUAAUGGAAUGGUGAUAAAUAAUACACAGAUACUAUUGGAAGCUGAACAAAUUUAGAAAUAAAGAAUAGCAGAUUAGAAACCAGAAUGUCAUUAUUUACUACUUACAAAAAUAGAAGACAUAGUUUAAUGCAAAAGCAAAAUGGAUCUCUGACUGAAUUCCAGGAAGCUUUCCCCACCAGCCACAGCCAAAUAGGAUAAGGAAGGCCUCCUCCAUAGCAGAGCACAGCUGAAGGGGCAUGGUGCACUGAUGCUCUCUAUGGGCAGCUCAUUUGGAAGAGAAGGAAAGGAAAGCUGAAUAAAACAAUACUCCUUUCUUCAAUUUCUUGAAUUUCUAUUAAUACAUGUUCUGAUUUCUUCAUAACUGUUUUCUUACCUUUGCAUCCUUCAUGACCAGUAUGUUUUAUUUUAAGCUCUUUAUUAUGCAAAUUAGUAAAUACAUAAAAUUAGUCAAAAUAGGUUAAUUAAAU
rnacentral:lncRNA from 1 species